GGAAGGGUGGCUGAGCGGUCGAAAGCGACGGUCUUGAAAACCGUUAGGGCUGAAAGGUCCUCGUGGGUUCGAAUCCCACCCCUUCCG
rfam:Parcubacteria bacterium GW2011_GWA2_43_13 TV70_C0004, whole genome shotgun sequence.